ACACAUCUCUCUCCCUCAUCCCUCCUUCUCCAUCACCGGCCGCCGCCGCGGCCAGGCCGGCGUGGCGGCUCGCCAUCCAUCCACCAGCAACACCAUCGCCUCCAGCCGCCACUCCACCCCGCACCACCAGCACCACCCCAUCCAUUCGAGCGCCACCACCAACACCCACGCUCCAGAUCGAAGAAAGGAGCGGCGCGACCCACCAGACAGCACGUCUGGGUACCCGCGCCCCUGCUGUUGCUCUUCUAUCUUCCCUCGCCUUGCUGCUGCUCCUCCACUUCUCAACUCAAACCUGCUGCUGCUUAUUCUUCCCGCGUCCCCGCUGCUGCUCUUCUUGCGCCUCUGCUGCUUUCCUCUUCUUCUCUUAACCCUGCCGCUGCCCUUCUUCUUUCCUGAAACCUGCUGCUGCACUUUUCUCUGAACCUUAACUUGUUGCUGCCACUUCUUCUUCUCUGAACCCAACGCUGCUGCUGCUCCCUUCUUGCCCAUGCCUCUGCUGCUGCCUCUCUUCUCCUACACCUUUUGCUGCUGCCAUCUCUCUCUCUCUCUCUCUCUCUCUCUCUCUCUCUCNNNNNNNNNNNNNNNNNNNNNNNNNNNNNNNNNNNNNNNNNNNNNNNNNNNNNNNNNNNNNNNNNNNNNNNNNNNNNNNNNNNNNNNNNNNNNNNNNNNNNNNNNNNNNNNNNNNNNNNNNNNNNNNNNNNNNNNNNNNNNNNNNNNNNNNNNNNNNNNNNNNNNNNNNNNNNNNNNNAUAUUCUGUAAUUUGAGAAGUAAGAAGCUUUGUAAUAUUCAGAUUCUAUAAGUGUCUGUAAUCUGCUAUAUGUUCAGUUCGUACUUGUCAUGUGUUAAUUAGUAUUCUGCUACUGUAUGUGUGAGAUCCCUUAUGUGUUUGUUCCUUACUGCAGAAAUUUAUUCAGUUGUCCAUGUGUUAGCUCCAGUACAUGUGCUAUAUAAAUACAUGUGUGUUUUGUGAUGUAAACCAUGUCAGCUAGCUCACUAUAACAAAUUCAUGUUACUAUUUAUGAUGUAAACCAUGUCAGUUGUGUGAUCAUUCAAUUUUCAGUCUAUGUAUUAGCUCUGUACCUGUAAUAUAUGUUGUGACAUGAAGCAUUUUCAUCCCUGUCCAUUAUCUUGUUUCUUCCCUCUGUCAUAUGCUUGUUAGAUAAAUAUAUGUGUUCAUGUCCUGUUGUUUCCUUUUGUGUUAGCAUUUUUGUAAUAGGAAAACACCAAAAAGACAAUAUAGACAAUCUGAACCUCCCCUUUGCUUAUUUUGCAUUUUCUUUGGCGGCGAUCUUCAGGAAUAACCUUGUUAGUUUAGGUUUUAUUUUCCGCUUUCAUCACCCAAUAUCGUGUUACCUAGCUUUAGCCGAAUAUAGUUGCUGUCGCCUAGUCCCCGUGGAGAACACGACACUCGCAGUUCGGGCGAAAUAUCCCGCUGUACUUACAAUUGAUCAUUUUGGCGCCGUUGCCGGGGACUAGCGUCGAGCGAUUAUGUUGGCUAUAGACUAGGUUUAUUUUAGUUCCGUGUUUAAUCCGUCGUGUAUUUCAUUUUCUGUGUUUCUUUUCUUUUAUUUUCUUUUCCUUGCUGUUGCUUCGGCUUAUUAGGAUACUAACCUUCUAACUAGUGUUUACUGUUUAUGAGUGUGCAUAGGAAAUCUGAACUAUUUACAGGUUGAUUGAUAGUUACACUUGGUGGAGAUAUGGCGAUGCUUCGUGAUGUUUGGAUGCCCAAAAGUCAGUGCUAUAUCACAGGACCGAUUUGGCCAACUAUUGAGGCAGAGAACUUCGAGCUGAAACCUAGUCUUAUUGCUUUGGUUCAACAACAACAGUUUGGAGGACUGCCUACUGAGGAUCCCUAUGAGCACCUACACCGAGUCAUGGAGUAUUCAGGUACAGUCAAGUACCAUGGAGUUCCUCAAGAUGCUAUCAAGUGAAUGCUGUUCACAUUCUCUCUCCGAGAUGAUGCUCGUGCUUGGUAUCGAUCCUUGCCAUCAAGAUCAUUCAGUUGGAACAAGAUAUCACGAGCUUUCUUGGAUAAAUAUUUCCCACUACACAAGCAGUCUACAAUUCGAGAUGAGAUCUUCAGCUUCGUUCAGCGUGAAGGCGAGAGCUUGUAUGAUGCUUGGGAGAGAUACAAAGCCAUAUUCAGGAGAUGUCCUAAUCAUGGGCUUGAGAGGUGGUUAGAGCUGUAGAUAUUCUAUGGAGGAUUGACUCCGGACACUUGAGUUUAUGUCGAUAUGGCAGCGGGUGGAGCUAUUACAAACAAGACACUUGAUGAUGCUUUUCUGCUGAUUGAGAGCAUAGCUUUCGACCAACUUCAGUGGUACAAUGAGAAGCCCACCUCUGAUUCAUUGGUUUGCUUGCAACAAAUCACUACACCUCAGCCACCAAUUGUUACACAAAAGCCUGAACCUGCCCUUUGCUUAUUUUGCAUUUUCUUUGGCGGCGAUCUUCAGGAAUAACCUUGUUAGUUUAGGUUUUAUUUUCCGCUUUCAUCACCCAAUAUCGUGUUACCUAGCUUUAGCCGAAUAUAGUUGCUGUCGCCUAGUCCCUGUGGAGAACACGACACUCGCAGUUCGGGCGAAAUAUCCCGCUGUACUUACAAUUGAUCAUUUUGGCGCCAUUGUCGGGUAUCGAACCUGGGUCACCCGCGUGACAGGCGGGAAUACUUACCACUAUACUACAAUGACAAGAUUGAGCUUGCAUGGAUUAUCUUUGACGAUGAUGAUACCAUUCUAGUUGACACACACGCUACAGAUCAUAUGGAUACUAGUGUUGGAGAUUUAAUUUUGCAUUGUGAUGAUUCUUCCAUGGAUGAGCCAGAGCUGCAGUUAGUUGUUUUUGAUAUUGAGGAGUCACCUUUAGUUGAUAUUGAUCAUGUGCUGCUAGAGCCAGAUAUGGAGAAGUUCAGCUUCAAUGAUGUUAGCCGCAUUGAUUCCUCAACACUUGAGCCUGAGAUGGAGAGCUUCAUGGUUAAUUAUGAUGAGGUGGAUUCAGAUGUCAAGGAGCCAAGCUCUACUAUUUCACUUGUUGACACGAGUCCGGUGGAAAUUUCUACAACCACACCUCACUUGGUAUCUUCAAUUGAGGUAGCCCUGAAGCUUCUUCCUAACUAUCUCAGGUAUUAUCUCAGCUUUCUGGACAAGUUAUGUCAUAUCGCUGAUAUUGCCUAUGCACCAUGUGACUUGUUGAUACAUGUUCCUGAUUUGCUCAAUAGAUAUACUUAUAUGAUAGGGUACUCUAUCGAUGACUUAGAGGGCAUUCUCUCUGUCACUUGUAUUGGCUUGCUUGUUGAGUGUUCUUUCAGGUUGAUGCUUGUGCACCAUUUACUGCGAGUUGACCGAGUUCGAGAUGACAUUCCCUGGGACCCCGGUGGAUUCACGGCAUGGUGAUGAGGAGAAGCAAUGGGCACACGCGAAGAAGAGUGAAGCUGGAGCAGGCAUGAGGAUAGAGAAGCAAAAAGAGAAGAGCUGCAGUUUAGAGGGUGUCGAGCCAGUGCUACUUCCUAUAUAAACCCGGUGAGCUGUUUCAUGUCCCCAAUCUGAAUAUAUCAUCCAUUGAUACAUGCUGAAAUCAAUUGCUAUUUGGGUUGCUUAGCCAUUUCUUAAACGUUGUCCCACUGAAUUUACCUUUGACUUAUGGUGCUUGAUGUGAAUAUGUAAACUGAUUUGUGGAUGCCUUGUAAACUAGUGAUCUACAUACUACUUGCUUUGCUGAAAUUAGUGAAAAUUAUUAGUUUUGAGUGCUCAAAUCCCUAGUACACUAGAAAACUUAAAUCAUUUUCUGCUCUUACCUUGAUACACCUAGAUCAUUAAGUGUCAGAUGCUGAGUUUGUGCCUAAUGUGUUCCCAUUCAGAGCAAUCACUCACCACUAUGGACUAGCAUGCUAUGUUCCCUGGAUCGGUAGUAUGUGAACCAGACCUAGAUGAGUGAUGAUUUUUGUUUCCUUUUUGUAUUCAUUUGUUAAAUAAGUAAUGAUAAAUAAAUAAGUCUGACUACCUACAGUAGCAUGUCAUGUUCCCUGGAUCGGUGGCAUGUGAAAUCGGGUUAGCUUGGGCAGUAAUUACUAAUAAAAAUUGUAAUUGUCGAACCAGGUGUAUACCAUGUUCUCUGGAUCGGUGGUAUGCUCCUUUGGGGAGACAAACAAAAAAACUAACUAAUAAUUGGUCGAGGUCGAGCCAGGUGUAUACCAUGUUCUCGGGAUCGGUGGUAUGUUCCUUUGGUGAGACCGAUAAAAUAUUAUCAUUGCUUCCUUCAAAUUCAAUAAGUGGUUCAACCACAAUGUUCCUGGUAAUAAGUGAUCUGAUCACAAGUUUAAAUUCUUUUUGUUUUUUGGAUCAUGCUCUCUUUAGGAAACUUUUGGCACAAUCAGCAUUUGAAUUUGUUGAUCCACUUUUAUCAUUGUAAAAGUUCAAAAUGAUUGAGUCUACUAGCAUCCUAUUGCUUUGUAGUACCCUAACCAUUAAUUUUCACUAACUUAGUCUGAAGCAUGCAUUGUUUAGAGAUCUACUUCACUUGGACACUCCCUAAUCAGCUCACUGUUCAUACUCUUGCUCUUGUCAUGUGCCUUUACUUGAGGACAAGUAGAGAUUUAAGUGCGGGGGAACUUGAUAAGCACAUUUCUUAUAUACAAUUUGGGCACACAAAUUCACCAUUUAUUAAGAUAUGUCUAUUGUUUCUUGCUUAGGAUUGUCGAAUAUUCAAAUGAUAUUCACAAAAGAGGUUGUGACUAGUUGUUUGCUUAUUUUGCAGAAAAGUGCGCCAAAGGCACUAUAAACUACAAGAUUCUACCUAGGAAGAACUGAGGAACAAUCUAAGGGCUGGAACAGGAGAAAGAGUGACCCAAGUGUGACGAAGAUUAUAUUUCCAGGGAGCUAACUAAAGAAGAGGAGGGAUCAUCUUGUGAUGAAAGAAGAGAAGUAGGAGGGCCAAAAUGCAAAAGGUGCAGAUGAGAGCAGGGGAACAAAAUCCCUAGAUCGCCUCCAUUCCCCAUCGGGCCUGGCACACAUCUCUCUCCCUCAUCCCUCCUUCUCCAUCACCGGCCGCCGCCGCGGCCAGGCCGGCGUGGCGGCUCACCAUCCAUCCACCAGCAACACCAUCGCCUCCAGCCGCCACUCCACCCCGCACCACCAGCACCACCCCAUCCAUUCGAGCGCCACCACCAACACCCACGCUCCAGAUCGAAGAAAGGAGCGGCGCGACCCACCAGACAGCACGUCUGGGUACUCGCGCCCCUGCUGUUGCUCUUCUAUCUUCCCUCGCCUUGCUGCUGCUCCUCCACUUCUCAACUCAAACCUGCUGCUGCUUAUUCUUCCCGCGUCCCUGGUGCUGCUCUUCUUGCGCCUCUGCUGCUUACCUCUUCUUCUCUUAACCCUGCCGCUGCCCUUCUUCUUUCUUGAAACCUGCUGCUGCACUUUUCUCUGAACCUUAACUUGUUGCUGCCACUUCUUCUUCUCUGAACCCAACGCUGCUGCUGAAACCCUUCUCCCAUCUAGGGGGAAGGUAAAGGAAGAAGAAGGAGAAGGGGGGCUCUCUCCCCCUCUGUCCCGGUGGCGCCUGAACACCGCUGGGGCCAUCAUCAUGACCGCGAUCUACACCAACAAUUUCACCACCGUCAUCACCAACUCUCUCCCCCUCUAUGCAGCGGUGUAGCACCUCUUCUCCCCGCUGUACUUAAACAUGGUGCUCAACGCUAUAUAUUAUUUCCCAAUGAUGUAUGGCUAUCCUAUGAUGUUUGAGUAGAUCCGUUUUGUCC
rnacentral:lncRNA from 1 species